rnacentral:lncRNA from 1 species
GCCCCGGGCGCUGCGGGAGCCGGGGCUCACCCCGCGGGGAGGGAGGGAUCCCCGAGGCCGUCUGCGGGGAGCCGCGGGGUCAGGACGGCCGCCCGCAGGCCGCUGCCGGGGGGCUCGGUUUAGAGGCGGGAGAAAGGCACGUUACGGCAGCCUUCGCCAACUGAGGCGAAACAGCAGCACAACUUCAAAAGCCCUCAGUUUCCGAACAGUGGCUCUUUGUUUUCCAGCUGCCGUACCUGAGCGGCUCAGAUAUUUCCAGCACCUUUUCCGACGGGCGGCCAUCGGGCAGGGGCUCGCUCCGGGCACGCCGCGGGGCCGCGUCUAGCUGCCAGACGCCGCCGCGUUCAGUUCCAAAUGGUUAUCAAUUACGGCACCGAAAAGCGGGCUUUAUGUCAACAGAUCCGAGCGAAGGGAGCGCGAACCUGAGCGAGAAGCCUCGCCCCGGGCUGGGGCACGGCGGGAGGAGACCGGGAGCCGCUCCGCGUCCUCCCUUCGGCGGGGAAGGGACGAGCCCGGGGCGCAGCCGGCAAUACAAAGGCUGCCCCGAGAGGAAGGCAAGCGGAGCCGCACGGCCUCGGGGCCCCCGGCGGCGGCGGGCACGCAUCGAUCACGCACCGCGAGGCCGCGUGCCCGGGGCUGAGCCCGCAGCCCGCACCGGGGACCGCCGGCGGGAGGCGGCCGUGGCCGUGCAUGUUCGCUCCCGCACGUCUGUCGUGCAGGAGCCGGGGAGCAGAGGUCAUAUUUGACAUUCGGGAGGAGGGGCGGGGGCAGAUUAAUUAAUAAAUUAAUGCCGCGGCG